GGGGCUGAAGUUUGGUUGAGGGAGCGCCUGAAUGGCAUUCAGGAGGUCGUCGGAUCGAUCCCGAUCAGCUCCACCA
rnacentral:tRNA from 1 species